ACCAUUUGAUCAGUAAAUAUGAGAGAUGCCCUCUCAAAAAUAAAAAAUAAAAAAAUAAAAUAAAAUAAAAUAAAUUCAUCACCAAAGUCAAAAAAAUAAAAAUAAAAUAAAAAUAUGUGCAUGUUUGUCUUCCUGGGGUAAAACAAGUCCUAAUGAAUUUCUAUUCACUAACUUUUCAAAAUGUGUUCAAAUCAACAUUAGACUUUUCUCACAUUUAUUUGCCUAGAAUUCUUCAACUUUCUUAUAGAAAGCUAUUUAAGACCAAGUUUAUUACUGUCCUUUUCAACAUUGUUAAUUUGAAUUAAUUAUUAUACUGUCACUAUUUCAAGUGCUUAUUCUGCUGGAUUUAUUUUGUAAUGAAAGAUGAAAUAUUAGCUCUGUUUUUAUUAGUCGACAUGCCACUUACAAGUUGCGAUUUGAUUGGGGUACUUAAUUCAAUACCAGGAAACGCAGUGGUUGACUUCUCCAGAAGUGACAUUGGCAUUUGGCCUCAGGCUGUCAAACAUGCAGGAAGAAUAUAAACUGGAACUAACUCAUUUCUUGUAGCUGCAAUGAAAGCUUAUGUGUGAUUGCUCAGUUCAUCCCCAUGAGGAACUGGUGACUUGCAAGUACAAAUUCGAUUACAAAUGCUGACUUUCUUUAAUCUUUCUUUAAUAGCACACCUAUACAAUUAAAACAUUUUUUACCCUUUCCAAGGUGAUUCAUUGAAAUAUCUCCAGUUGAAGGCAAUAAAACUUUUUCUUUUUGGUGUGGCAAAAUACAGAAAUGUAAACAUGUUUUUCAUAAGGUCUUCAUUUUGCAAUUUUUAAGAUUUCACAUUGUGUUAUAGAGAGUUUUUCAUGUGUUCUUUCCUCUGAAACACUUGAUAUUAUCAGACUUAAGUUUUGUAAGUCUGGUGGGUGAAAAAUAAAAUUUCAUUUUAAUGUGUGUUUCCCUAAUAACUAGUAAGUUAAGCAUCUAUUUGUAUUGGUCAUCUGUAUUUCCUCUCCUAUAAAUUGCCUGUUUGUGUCUUUUAACCAUUUUUCAAUUAGGUAAUUUUUUAUGUUUUACUAGCAUUUAAAAAUAUAGUUUGUGUACUACUUAUACAUUAUAUAUAGGUAUUUUCUUCUUAUUGCUAAUCUGUUAAUUUUGUUGAUGGUGUUUUGUGUGUGUGUACAUGAUCAUAGACAUUAUAAGCUGUGUUGUCAGUUUUAUUCAAUUUUUUUCCUUUAUGGCUUUUGUAUAUUUCCAUACAUAUGAGUCUGUUUCUGGACUCUCUUCUAUUUAUCUGACCAUUUAUAUGCUAAUACUAUAAGUUAACUAUAGUUUUAAAAUAAGUUUUGAUACAAGGCAAAUCUCCCCUGUUCUUUUAAUACUUUUUCUUGGCUAUAUUUAUACCUUUCUUCCUUAUGAAUUUAAUCAUUAGCUUGUUCUACUUCAUGAAAAAUCUUACUGGAGAUGUGGCCAGUUCAAUGUGAACUUAAAUUGCAUUUUAAAAGAUAGAUAGUUCUUUGUUCUUAAAUGGUUAUCUUCAGUAGAAGAGUUGGAAUGUGCACCCCGUAAGUGGUCUUCCUUGCCAUCAUUAGUUAGGACAGUAGCUAACCUGGGACAACAGAGACUCACAAGUAAAGUACCUCAGAUAAGAGGUUGAUCUUACAGGUCAGAAGAGGCAAGUGGUGCAAGGCAGGUGGUCUCCACUAAUUUGUGAUGUGAUUGAGAGCCUCCAAUUUCUUUAAUUUUGUUGCUGUGCCAUUCCAAGGGGUGGUAUUGCUUGUAUAUGCAUGGCUAGAAGCAGGCUUGCCAGGAUCACAUUCCCUGUUCAACCAGGGUGGGAGGAGAGGGAAUAUAUACAGUUUUAUGGGGAAGUCCCUUAUUUCUGUGCCUUUUUCAUCAACAAAUCCUUAGUUACAUGCACCUUUCAGCUGCCAUAUCUUGCUGGGCAGUCAUGUGCCCGGCCAAACUUGGAGAGGGGUGUUUAUUAUGAAAAGGAAUUGGGUUCUAGUGGACAGUAAGACUGCAGUAACCAGUUGUAUGUUUUAAAAUAUAGAACUUAUAUUGAAUUUUUUUUCAUUAUAAAAGCCAUACCCACUUAUUGUAAAAAAAAAUUUAGACCAUAAAAAUGGGUAAAAAGAGUAGAACAAAAAUUAUACGCCUACCCUAGGAAUAGUCAUCAUUUGGGAACUUUCCUUCUGUUUUUUUUUUCCUGACUUUCAGUUACAAUCAGCCCACAGAAAAGUGUGGAGCACAGUGUGAGUGUUUAUUACCCACCACCAGCCACCCACACUGGCCACGUUUGCUGUUUUGCCUUAUUUGCUGUAGGUCUUAUCUAAGUAAUAAAACAUUAAUGGAAGAGUUUGAGCCCUGUGUGCUUUUCCUAAUUACAAUUCUUCUUUCUUCUGCCAAGGAUAAUCAUUCUGACUUUGAUGUUUAUCAUUCAUAUAAAUAUAUACAUUAUUAAAAGUUAUUUUCCGAAAAAGGAGAUAAUACAGGUUUUUGCAGAAUGUUUGAAUUUUUAUAAAAUAUCACUCAACAGUUUUUUCUGAUGUACAUUAUUUUUAGUGAUGAGCUGCAUAAAGCUCUACUCUCAGUAAUCCAUCAUGUAGACACUAUCACCAUGUAGUCAUUCUGCUUUUGGACAUUUAGGGUUUUUCCAAGGUUUCCACGAUUACAAACAUCCUUGUAUGUGUCUCCUUAAGCCCACAGUAAGAGUUUCUGUAGUGUAUAUACAAAGAAAGAGAAGUCAUAGACUGUAUUUCUUCAGGUAUUCUAGAUAAUUCAAAACUGUACCCAUUAAAACUGUGAAAAACAAUAUUUGAGUUUCUGUGUUGCACAUUUUUUGACAGAUUUUGUUAUUUUUUACCGGUUCAGUGAGUGUUUAACAGUCUCAUCUGUGGCUUAAUUUGCAUUUCCUUAAUAACCAGUGAGGAUAAGCAUCUUUUCAUGUUACUGGCCUUAUGUGAAUUGCAUGUUUAUAUCCUUUGUCCAUUAAUAUGCUGGGCUUUUUCUUGGUUUGUAAGAAUAAGUGGUCUGGGUACUAUAAUUUUUUGAUCCACAUGCAUCACAGAUAACUGGGCACCACACUUUGGAUUGUCUUUUUACUUUGUUUAUAAUGUCUUUUAUUUAGAAGUUUUUACUUUUAUUUUAAAUUAAGCUUUCAUGUUUUGUGUCUUCCCUACCUUUUUAAGAAGUUUUCCUCAACCCCGAGGAUAGAAACGUGGUCUUCUGUAUUUUAAAAUGUGCUCUGCAUUUAGGUCUCAGGUACCCCUGAAAUUUAUUUUGGGUGUGAGAUAGGGGUUUCUUAUUACUUUAUUUUUCUGUAGGGAUAACUAAAAUUAUUCCAGACCAUUCAUAGAUUAAUUAUCCUUUGUAUAUUUUGGCUAGUUUUGGUUGCUUUUCCUUACAAACUUUAUUUUUCCCUUUUAGUUUUUUGAAUAUUAAUACAUUUACAUGGUUCAAAAUUCAAAGAUACUAAGGCUUCUGUAAAAAAAGAGCUUACUACCCUGUCCCCAAGUCACCUGAGGACUCAAACUUUGAUCCGUGGAGGCAACCAGUAUUACCAGUUUCAUGUGUUUUACACAUCAAGUAAAAUAAGUACAUAUUUCUAAAUUCUUCUCUACCCAAUGUACUCCACAACUUUUUUCACUUAGUUUUAUUUUGGCAAUCUUCCUAUGUCAAUACAUAAGAGCUUCUUCAUUUGUUUUUUUUUCUCUCUUUGUAUUAGGUGAAAGUCAUAGCAAGCAACUGACCAUUUUAAAGUGAACAAUGCAGUAGCAUUUAGUACCUUCACAGUGUGGUGUGACCAUCACCUCUCUUAAAACUUUUUCAUUAUUCCAGAAGAACAUCCAGACCCAUUUAAAAAGUUACUUCCCAUUCUCUGCCCACUUCUUGGCAACCACUAGCCUGUUCUGUCUGUGUGGAUAUGUUGUGUAAGGAAUCGCACAGUACGUGACGUUUGUGUGUGUGUCUUUAAUGUUCCCAAGGUUCAUCCAAGUGUUAGCGUCUGUAAACCCUUAUUAGAUACGUGAUUUGUGGGUAUCUUCUCCCAUUUUAUAAGCUGCUUUUUUACAUUCUUGAUGAUGUCCUUUGAUGCACAAAAGUUUUAAUGUUUCUCAAGUCCAGUUUAUCUUAUUUUUUUCUUUUGCUGUCAAAUCUAAGAAUCCACUGCCAAAUCCAAAUCAUGAAAAUUUACCUAUGUAUUAUUUGCUUCUAGUAGGUUUAUAAUUUUAGGUCUUAUAUUUAGGUCAUUAGUCUAUUUUGAGUUAGUUUUUGCAUAUGUAGUGAGGUAGGGGUCUACCAUUUUGCAUAUGUAUCUGUGUAGUUUUGUUUUAUAAGUAGAUCUUUAAAUCUGUGAUUUUGUUGCUAUUACAUUUUUUUUAAUAUCAGGUUUAUAUUGAGGCUUAUAUUGAGGUAUAAAUUACAUAAUAGUAAAAUGUACCCUCUGAGUUGUGAUUUUAAGUAUCAUGGUGCCAGUUUUUUUUGCCUUGUCCCUUUAGAGUCAGUCCCCUGUCCCUGCCUCCUGGCAGCCACUGAUCUGAUUCCUGACUAUGUAGAUUUGCCUCUUCUAGAAGGUCAUGUGAAUGUCAUCAUAUACAGGCAGCUUUUGGUGUCUGGCUCUUUUCACUUAGCAUAAUGCUUUUGGGAGUCACCCAUGCUGACGUGUCAGGAGUCUGUCAUUGCUGAGAAACAUCCCCUUGUAUGGAUGUAGCCUACUUUGUUUAUCCAUUUACCUGUUGGUGGUAUGUGGGUUUUUCCAGUUGGGAGUAAUUAGGAUUAAAGCUGCUGUAAACAUUUGUGUACAGGUAUCUGUGUGGACUUAAAUUCUCAUCCUCAUGGGUUAAUACCUAGAAAUGGGCUUAUUGACUAAGUCGUAUGCUGUUGGUGGCAACCCUGGAAGCUUCCCCAGUGUGACUGAAACCAGCCCCUGUGUGUGGAAGGCAGGGAGACACCAAGGAGAGGCAGCCGCUCCAGGUCCCUUCCACAAACAUGCAUUGGGUCCCUGAUGGACACGGCAUCAAGUCCUGCUAUGUCAAGACCAUCCUGCCUGCAGGGGGGGACUGGAGAUGCUGCUGGCAGGCAUCCUCAUCAUCCUGCCAGCAGGGAAAGGUUUGCAUAUUUCUGGAGCUGAAACCUUUCUGCUGGAACACAGAGCCUCGUCUACCUCCAUACACUGGGAAAGGGGAGUUUGACUGUGAACAGCUCUUUUUUUUGCCUUUUGGAUUCUGAACCAUGUGAAUGUGUCAUCUCCUCAAGUAAAUAAGGAAGGCAAAAGUUAUAAAAAGUGAGGCAUACAAAAAUAAUUAAUUAAUCACAACGGAAUAACAUAACUAUUAAAAUAAAACAAGACAA